AUCGCUUCUCGGCCUUUUGGCUAAGAUCAAGUGUAGUUAGGAGGUCUUUUAGAGACACUUAGCUUUCACUGAAGUGAUAUUUGGCAACGGGGAGCAAUUAGUUGUUCCACGUUCGAAUUUAUUCGAGCAACCAGC
rnacentral:snRNA from 1 species